UGCUGUGGAUUAGGCUUUGGCUUAAGGGAAUGUGGCUGAUUGAUCU
rnacentral:miRNA from 1 species